GCCCAUUUGGCUCAGUGGCAGAGCACUCCCUUGGUAAGGGAGAGGUCGCGGGUCCGAUUCCCGCAAUGGGCACCA
rnacentral:tRNA from 3 species